rnacentral:rRNA from 1 species
GACGAACGCUGGCGGCGUGCCUAAUACAUGCAAGUCGAACGCUUUUUCUUUCACCGGAGCUUGCUCCACCGAAAGAAAAAGAGUGGCGAACGGGUGAGUAACACGUGGGUAACCUGCCCAUCAGAAGGGGAUAACACUUGGAAACAGGUGCUAAUACCGUAUAACACUAUUUUCCGCAUGGAAGAAAGUUGAAAGGCGCUUUUGCGUCACUGAUGGAUGGACCCGCGGUGCAUUAGCUAGUUGGUGAGGUAACGGCUCACCAAGGCAACGAUGCAUCGCCGACCUGGGAGGGUGGUCGGCCACACUGGGAGUGAGACACGGCCCAGACUCCUACGGGAGGCAGCAGUAGGGAAUCUUAGGCAAUGGACGAAAGUCUGACCGAGCAACGCCGCGUGAGUGAAGAAGGUUUUCGGAUCGUAAAACUCUGUUGUUAGAGAAGAACAAGGAUGAGGGUAGAACGUUCAUCCCUUGACGGUAUCUAACCAGAAAGCCACGGCUAACUACGUGCCAGCAGCCGCGGUAA